rnacentral:lncRNA from 1 species
CAGCCAAGAACCUGCUAGGAAUCCCUCUCUGCCCUAUCCCCUUUGCUCACCUAAACCCUCUCUUGCCUCUCAGCUUUCACUUCUCUGAUGAUCUCUGCGUGGGGGGUGGGGGGAGGUGUGUGUGUGUGGAUGCCGUUAGAAAGAGGCACCCUGGUGACCAGAUGGAACUAGGUGUGGGCAGUUUUGUGGCAGAUUGUUCCAGAGAGGUUGAUUCUCCAGCUUAGGCUCCAGAGUAUGAUUGGUGUUGGCUGGUGUCAUAGGAACAAUGUUCACAGCUGUCUCUGGGGUGGAGCUUUAAUUCCAUACAGGUGUUGAGUAGUAUCUCAGGGGGUGGGCUGCAGAAGCAGAGGAGAUACUGGUCUGUGUUGGCGGGUAGAGGGUAGGCAGAAGCAGAAGUGGUCCUAAUCCAUAUUGAGAGGAGCAGAAAAACUAGAAAUAGUCCUCAUCCAUAUGGAGGGCAAGGUGGGGGCAAAUAGUCAGUGCAGACGUGGCCCAGCUCUGCAUCUGGUAUCAGAGACAAGAGCUGGUCCUGGUUGGAGGUCGGGGGAGGCAGAGGCAGAAGUGGUGCUGGUGUGUUUUGGGGUUGAGCCAAAGGAGGAGGGUCCUUUUUUAAGGCUGUGCAGUGGCAAGAGGUCUCCCUUUGAUCUCAUCCGGCAGCCUCCAGAGAACCCUUCCCACAGUGCUUCCAUCAUCUUCCCCAUCAAAGAAUGUCCCCAACAGUCAGGUUCCCAGAGCUGACUUGGCCCGAAAGCGCGGACAGGGGCUUCUCUGGGUUUGCGAGAGCUCAGGACUGGUCCACGCGGCCUCAUGUGCAUAUUCAUUCACACUAUAUUUUUCCUUCCCCAGUUCUGCACACACAGCCUUCUGCCCUCUUUCAACGCUCCGCCACCCGCCUCCCCUCGGGGCGCCUGCAACCCGCGGUGACGCGGUUGGCAGGCUCGGCCUUAAAAAGUUCCCAGUCGGGCUCCGCCUCGCCGGCAGCCGGCUCCACCCUAAACCCAAAUCCCAGGCGGCCGCCGGCUCCUCCCAGAUCUGAGAACUACAAGUCCCGCCGACCCUUGCGCGCGCUCUCCCGCCUCUCCC